rnacentral:rRNA from 1 species
AGCCCUUAUACAUGCAAGUCGAACGAGAAAGCUUCUUCGGAAGUGAGUAAAGUGGCGGACGGGUGAGUAACGCGUAGGAAUCUACCUUUCAGUGGGGGACAGCUCGGGGAAACUCGAAUUAAUACCGCAUAUACCCUUAGGGGGAAAGGGGGCCUCUCCUUGGAAGCUCUCGCUGUUAGAUGAGCCUGCGUGAGAUUAGCUUGUUGGUAAGGUAAUGGCUUACCAAGGCUACGAUCUCUAGCUGGUCUGAGAGGACGAUCAGCCACACUGGGACUGAGACACGGCCCAGACUCCUACGGGAGGCAGCAGUAGGGAAUAUUGGACAAUGGGGGAAACCCUGAUCCAGGCAUGCCGCGUGUGUGAAGAAGGCCUUAGGGUUGUAAAGCACUUUAAGUGAGGAAGAAAAGAUUCAAAUUAAUACUUUGAAUCCCUGACAUUACUCACAGAAUAAGGACCGGCUAACUCCGUGCCAGCAGCCGCGGUAAUACGGAGGGUCCAAGCGUUAAUCGGAAUUACUGGGCGUAAAGCGCGCGUAGAUGGUUUAUCCAGUUGGGUGUGAAAUCCCUGGGCUCAACCCAGGAACUGCAUUCAAAACUUAUAAACUAGAGUACGAAAGAGGAGAGCAGAAUUCAUGGUGUAGCGGUGAAAUGCGUAGAUAUCAUGAGGAAUACCAGUGGCGAAGGCGGCUCUCUGGUUCGAGACUGACAUUGAGGUGCGAAAGCGUGGGUAGCAAACAGGAUUAGAUACCCUGGUAGUCCACGCCGUAAACGAUGAGAACUAGCCGUUGGAUCUUUAGAUUCAGUGGCGCAGCUAACGCAUUAAGUUCUCCGCCUGGG